rnacentral:misc_RNA from 1 species
UCUCCGUUGGUGAACCAGCGGAGGGAUCAUUACUGGAAUCGCAAGACUCCCAACCCCUGUGAACGUACCGAAACGUUGCCUCGGCGGGCCUCGCGCCCGCCGGCGGCCCCUACCAAACCUCUUGUUUUUACAGUGUCUCCUCUGAGUUACAAACACAAAUGAAUCAAAACUUUCAACAACGGAUCUCUUGGUUCUGGCAUCGAUGAAGAACGCAGC